UGGGGAAUAUUGCACAAUGGGCGCAAGCCUGAUGCAGCCAUGCCGCGUGUGUGAAGAAGGCCUUCGGGUUGUAAAGCACUUUCAGCGAGGAGGAAGGUGGUGAGCUUAAUACGCUCAUCAAUUGACGUUACUCGCAGAAGAAGCACCGGCUAACUCCGUGCCAGCAGCCGCGGUAAUACGGAGGGUGCAAGCGUUAAUCGGAAUUACUGGGCGUAAAGCGCACGCAGGCGGUUUGUUAAGUCAGAUGUGAAAUCCCCGGGCUCAACCUGGGAACUGCAUUUGAAACUGGCAAGCUAGAGUCUCGUAGAGGGGGGUAGAAUUCCAGGUGUAGCGGUGAAAUGCGUAGAGAUCUGGAGGAAUACCGGUGGCGAAGGCGGCCCCCUGGACGAAGACUGACGCUCAGGUGCGAAAGCGUGGGGCAGCAAACAGGAUUAGAUACCCUGGUAGUCCACGCUGUAAAACGAUGUCGAUUUUGGAGGUUGUGCCCCUUGAGGCGUGGCUUCCGGAGCUAACGCGUUAAAUCGACCGCCUGGGGAGUACGGCCNCAAGGUUAAAACUUAAAUGAAUUG
rnacentral:rRNA from 1 species